ACAGUUGAAGGCGAUGGGGAUAUUAUGACCAAGAUUGUUUUUUGAGGGUGAGACUUUUCCAUUGCACACUUUGAUGGGUUUAUUCCUAUGAUUUCCCCAAAUGUGGGAAUCUCAACUAUUUAAUUUUUGAUAGUGGGGGACUACAUCUGAGCGGUUAUUUG